AGCAGCCGCGGUAAUUCCAGCUCCAAUAGCGUAUAUUAAAGUUGUUGCAGUUAAAAAGCUCGUAGUUGAAUUUCGGGAUUAGUACGCUGGUCAUGCCUUUGGUAUGUACUGGUGUUACUGGUUCCUACUUCUGAAGAACCGUCAUGUCAUUAAUUUGGUGUGGCGGGGAAUCAGGACUGUUACUUUGAAAAAAUUGAGUGUUUAAAGCAGGCUCGCGCUUGAAUACAUUAGCAUGGAAUAAUGGAAUAGGACGUUUGACCCUAUUUUGUUGGUUUCUAGGAUUGACGUAAUGAUUAAUAGGGAUAGUUGGGGGCAUUAGUAUUCAAUUGUCAGAGGUGAAAUUCUUGGAUUUAUUGAAGACUAACUACUGCGAAAGCAUUUGCCAAGGAUGUUUUCAUUAAUCAAGAACGAAAGUUAGGGGAUCGAAGACGAUCAGAUACCGUCGUAGUCUUAACCAUAAACCUAUAGCCGUACUAGGGAUCGGAUGAUGUUAUUUAACUGACUCAUUCGGCUCCUUGAC
rnacentral:rRNA from 1 species